UGGGAAAGUCUGCUGAAUAAAAGCAGGUCAGAUAAAAGAGGGCAGGGCCAUUACCCACCCUUAGGACCCCCGUGUCCUCUGUACCCCUCUGGGAAUUGGAGCAUCCCCCACCAGAAGCCAACCUGCUAUCCGACAGCGAAGACUAUUUCUCAGAAAUCAGUUGCCAAGAAGAGAGAAAGUGAGUUCGCUGUGUGUCACAACUCCGACCACAGUUUUGACUGCAGCUAUUUCUAUUUUUGAAGCUGCUUUCCUGUAAUCCUGGGCAGCUCUCUAGAGUGGCCAUUCCCCUCAGAGGCCUGGGACCGCAGAGGCUCAUCUGCUGGGGCCCAGGGCCUGACCCUUGAGGAGGAAGCAGCGGGUGUGGAAAGGGCCAAAAGAUAGCAAAGGCCAGGUGCUGAGGACGGAGCUCACAGAUUUGUGCUCAGGAGGUGCUCUACCACAGAGCCAAAUCACCCACCACCUAGGAUGCAACUUGGAAGGAAGGAAGGAAGGAAGGAAGGAAGGAAGGAAGGAAGGAAGGAAGGAAGGAAGGAAGGAAGCAUUUAUUCUGGCACACGGUUUCAGAGGAGGACUUUAUGACGGACAAAAUGCAUGAAAAAUGAAGAUGAAUUUUCACACACAUCUCAACCAUGCUUCAAUUAUUGCCAAUUUUUGGCCAAUCUCAAACUGUUUAUGCCUUCACCUCCCAUUUUCUACACAAGCAGCCCAGCAUCUCCUGCAAGAUCGUGAGCCGAUGUCCGUGUGGUGGCCUUCCAUGGCUUCCUUAUUGCUGGUGUGACCAGGCACACUGGCCUCACCCUGGAAAUCUGUGACCCAGAGUAGAAUCAGCAGCCAGUGUCUUUAGAGGGAAAGAGACCUGGCCUCUUGAGUUCUGGCAACUGGCUGUUUUGAGGUAAUAGGCCCACCGUGGAGUUCCCAGGCUCUCUAGGCCUUUCAAGAUUCUUAAAUACAAUAACCCUCAUUUGGUCUCAACUUCAUUAGAAUAAAGAUUCAAAACAGGAUAUAGAGCCUGCCAGCCAGAGCAGUCAACAUUUAUUUAGCCCUUUAGCCCACUGUCCCCAAGACACAGUGAGCUAAAUAAAGCAAUAAGGAAGGAAGGCCGGUGGUAGGUAGAUGGCAACUAGUGUCGUAUAAAAGAAAAGCCACAGGGUGGGGAGGCAGACACAUUGCGGGCUGGUGCUAUGUCUGCUUGGCACAAGCUAGAGUCAUUUGGGAAGAAGAAAUCUUAGCUGAGAAAAUGUCGCCACUAGAUUGGCCUGUGGGCAAGCCAAUUUUCUUGAUUGAUAGCUAAUGUGGGAGGGACCAGCUCGGUAUGGGUGGAGCCAACCCUAGGAAAGUGGUCCUAAGUAGUGCAGGAAAGCCAACUGAGCUAUCUAGGAGGAGCAAGUCAGUAAGCAGCAUCCCUCCAUGGCCUCUGCUCCAGGUCCUGCCUCCAGGUUCCC